CGUGCUAAAAUGGCAAGACCAGACAUGCGAGAAACGCUGUAAAACACGCCCUCAACUCGACUUUUUCCAUUCCUUCCGCCUCCACCGCCCCGCGCCCUGAUAAGGCGGAGGUCCCAAGUUCGAAUCUUGGCGUGCCCA
rnacentral:tRNA from 1 species